CGCUGCCCCUUUAAGGCAGCGCAGCCCCGCGCGCAUUCCAGCGGCCGCGUCACCGUUCCGGGAAGCGGUGGCGUCACCGCGCCAUCCCAUCCCUCUCUCGCUCCCUCUCUCGCUCCGUGCCGCGCUCCGUGCCGUGGCGGGGCGGGCCCGGGAACAAAGGCGCGAUAUAAAUAGAAGGUAGAAAAGAAGAGUAAAGAUGUGAGCAAGAACUUUAGGAUAUGUGCAGUCUGCCAUGGGGUGUUUUGGGGUCACGGACUGGCUCAGACGGUGGCAGAGUUUGUCUCCAGCUCUGUUCAGAAGUGCACACGGAUGGAGCAGCCGCUGGAUGUCCCUCUUGCUCCGCUUUCCUGCACAAGGAGCACCUUCGGGAGGGACGAGCCUGCAGCUAGGACAGACAAACGGGGCAGUGUGGGAGCAGCUGCUCGCUGCUGCCCAGCUGGCUGCGAUGAUGUGACACAACUCUGAGCACAAGAGAUGGUGAGGUGUCAGCAAGAGUGACAGACGAGAAAUGCGGUUUUCUUCCAUUACAAGAGUACUUUUUUUCCCACCCCAUUCUUCUCAGCUGUGCUCUGUGUCACUCUACCAAACCUGCUGCCAAUAACUGAAGACUAUUUGAAAAAAUUUAUAGAAUUUAUAAUGCCUUUCUCAACAGUUACCAUAUGUAAGCAAGUUCUCUGUUAGGCUGGAUGGAAGAAAUGCACCAGGUUCUUUUUUCAUGCCAGGGGGUUCUGGCCCAGAUCAGUUUAGCUGGGAGCACCUUCAUAUAAACAAGAUUUCACCUUUCUGGAAGAGUCUGCACUCUCUGUUCUGAAACAGAAUUGAGAGACAUACCUUCAGAACUUCCAAUGAAAUCCUGCUCUGAAACAGUGGGUGGGCAUUAGGAGAGAAUGUUCGUUACCUGUGUGAGUCAAGGGUACAGGACCAGGCUCUUUAUGUUACUCAGCUGCUGUGUUGGAAAGGCAAUGGAAAUUAUCAGCCCUUGUUUGUUUGAGGCAUCAAAAAUACACAAAUGCAGCAAAACUCUUCAGAAGCUCUGUGGAGGCUGGGAACCUCAGGGUGUCUGACUUGUGUAGAACCAAAAGGUUCUGCUCUGCUGCCUAGCACAGAGCUCUCAGGGAUGGGAACACAGGGGAGAACAGAGAAGUGCCUCACACAGUGCUUUCAGAAGGACCAUGAGGGUGACUGCAGGGAAUUUGUGUUUCAGUGAUCUAGCUAGGCUAAUAUGGGAAUUUGGGUUAGGUUGGAAUGUAAUAGGGAGCUCAAAGUUUCAAGAUAAUGUGAUAACUAGAUCAUUUUUUGCAUUCCUCAAAUCUCCACACUAUUUUCAGAAAGUUUCACCUGUAUAUGAUGAAGUGUAUGUUUCCUUAUAUUCAUAUUAUAUCUUCAAUCCUUUAACUUAGAAACCAACUUAGAUUACAAAUUCUGAAUGCUAAAAGUCUGAUAUAUUUCUGGAUUUUGAUGGAUUUUUUCCCUGUGUAUUUUUUCUCAGUAUAUAUGAAAGGAGUUACAUAACUUGUGACUUUAGUGGUCGGCCAAUAUUUGAUCUCCUCUAGUUUAUUUAUGUCAGAAAUGUUUAUACAAAGUGAUGUAUCUUUGUGUACAUUCUUUGUAAUCAAAGUAGGAUUAAGCUGAGGUCCCGUUUUCCUGAAUGUAGCAGGAAAAAAGACAAUAGGAAACAGCUCUUUUGGCAGUACCCCAAGCCUCUCUCUUCAAUCAGGGCUGGACUCAGAAAAUCCUUGCUCUAUUUAUCUUUUUGUGGUAAUUCAGGAUCAUUCUACAAAGUGUUUCACUGGUUUGGGGUGUUUUCUUACCUACAUUUGUAACAUUCCUGACUGGGCCACACAAUUUUGCUAAAAUUACAUACACACAAUUUUGUGUUUACAUCCACAUGGCUCAGAUGGUUUUUUUAUUUGUUUGUCUUGUGGUUGGUGCUUGGGAGGCAAAUACCUAUUUGUCUGCAUCUUCAGCUAUAUUUCAAACACAUUUUCUUCUCUAGGACUACAAACUGGUUUAAUUCCACUCCAUUUUCUGCUGGGUUUCUCUGAGGCCAUUCAGGAAAACAGGCAGGAAAAGACAUUUUGGUCUCUCUUAUCUCAGACAGUGAAAUUUAAGGAAUAUCAGAAGUGUUGUUUAGCAGUCUAAACUAAGCAUUAAACAGGGGAGGUGCUUAUUACCAUGUUCUUAAAGUCUGGGGCAGACAAAUCUGCAUUUUCCUAUACUGAAUAUUUAAAAGCCCUUAGUCCUUCUGGAUUUUAGCUUUUCCAGGGUUGUAUUUAGAAAGAUGUUUUCCUAAUCCUGACUAUGUAUAAAAACAAUAAUCAGAAGUAGUUGUUCUGUGCAAGAGCCAAAAUGCUUGGUUGUUAUCUUAGACAGGCAGUGAAACCCCUGGAGAACUAUUUAAUUAUGUAAAUUAGCAUGAAAUUAGAAAAUUAGGUUUACUUUGAAUUUGGGAGGGGGGAAGGGAUGUUUGGUUUUUUCCCCUGCAAAACCAAGAAUAAGCACCAUCAAAACAUGUGGUUUGUUUCUAUAGCUUUUAGCUAGAUUUAUCAAUUGCUUCAGGUUCAUAAGUAGUCAUCUCAUCUGUAUCUUGCAACAAUAUUUGUCAAAACUCCCAGUAGUGUGGAUGUCUUAAUAUUCUUCAAAAGGAGAAAUGAAGGAAAGGGAUAAUAAUGUACACAGAUGUACAGUGAAGUACAGAGCUCUGAAGUUCCAAAGUUGGGGGUUUUUUAACCAAAAGAAAGUGUCCAUUUAAGUCUAGAAUUAUGGAAGAAAAGUGGAUAUGUAAUUGUGUUCAUAAUCAGAGAGGUGCUUUUUUGGUGUGUUAAAUAAUGUAAAAUAUGUAGGUUUUUAGCAGCAUGGAAAACCUGAAAGCUGAUAAUAUAUAGGAGGUUACUGUGGUCUAGGAAAAAGAGGGGGGACUGGAUUCCAAAAUAGUGAAAUUCAGCAUGGCUCAGUUGGACCUCUGUGUUUCUAUUGAUGUCCACUAGUUGAAAAUUAGUUUAUGAUUUCAAGUUGCAUAGAAACAAAGCAAACCAACAAAAAAUUACUGCUAUGAAAGCAUCCAUCUAGGAAAACAUUAGGGGGAGAAAAAUACAGUGAAAACAGCACUCUUUCUAAAUUAAAUUUAGUAUUGCAUUUAAUAAAGUUUCCUGGUAGGGAGUUCCUGAAAAAUGUGGACUGAAAUGUGAAGCAAACUGUCAAUGCUCUUUUAGCUGCCUUGAUGGUACAUUUACAAGAAUACAUUUCUUAAAUAUUUUUUUUCAUCACUUCUAAAGAAAAAAGAAAUGCUUCAUAACCAUCUGGAGGAGCAUUUGCUAUGAUUGUUUCCAAAGGGGCAGCUUAAGAGUUUCAUAAAUAUCAAAGUUAAUAGGCUCCUAGAAACAAGGAAAAUUGCCUGUAGGUGAUUUCUACUUACACAGAAACAGCUCCUCUCUGAACUGCAGUCUUCUCUAAACUUUCUCUCCAGGCCUGUUGCCUAUUACUGUGCUGUCCUGUUCCUACUUCCUUUAGCUGGUUUGAAUCAACAGUGGGUAGAGCAAUACUUAUAUGAAAUGUACUUGAGGGUGAAACACAAUCUCACAAAUUACAGAAAAUAAACAAUGUUCAGUGUAGCUUGUGGCCAUAGGCAGAUCAGAAGCAGUCUAAUGAAAACACACUGGCUUUUUGGAAACGAAACAGCUAUGCCACAUUGUCAUAAAGCCAUAGUUAGGGCUGGGUUUGAAGAAGAGAAAAUCUUUUAAAAGUGGCUUCCAGAAAGAAGUUUGAGAAAUAAUUUUUUUUCCAUGUAUUGAUUUGCUAUUUGGUAUGCAGUAGGAGAUGCUUUUCCUUUAUUUUUGCACCUCCUGAUGUUAAUUACUAAAAAUAUAAAAUCAUUGUUUUCUGCAUAAGCAGGAUAAUAUGUAUAUGCCUCAUAAUGGUCAUACUUGGAAUAAGAGCUCUUUCCUCUCCUUAAAGGUGCAGGAAAACCACAUCAUCAUUACACAGCUCACAGAAACAUGCUUGGGAAAGGACGUGCACUAUGACAAGAUGUGCUAGAAAUUGGCUCUUCCUGUUGGGUUUCAUCAGGCUUUGAGUCCUGAUGGGCUUUCUGCUGGCAGAGCCUUAAAGCUCUUUAGGCAGAGCCUAAAGGCAACAGAGCUGGUUUUACAGAGGCAGCAGGAGGCUGAAACAAGGCUGAGCAGUGCUGGUUAUUGCAUGGGAAGAGACUGGUGACAACUGCUGGGGCUGUCCCUGUGAGGUCUGAGCUGGGUCCAGCCAGGAAGGACGGGUGAAUUGUGAUUUAGUUCACAAUAUUGCAUCCACACGUGGGAUGCCCAUUAGAUACAAAUGAAGAGGGCCUUGCUCUAUUCUUCUUUACUGUUCCAUGUUCUGGUAAUUUCAUUUUAUGUGUAGACAGUUGUUCAUCAUGUUGGAUAUUUGUAUUUCACAUUCCUCACGUUUCCUAAAUUUUUUGUUGGUGGGGAAGAAACAUUCAUAAAGUUGUGGCAAGUUUCAGAAGUCUGCUAUCAGAAGUUUUACGUAGGACCUUUUAUAUAAAUCUUGGUUUUUGAAAGCUAACUCAGGAAGUACAUUGUUGCUAUUAGCACCCCUGGGGGACUGGCUCCCUCUAGAAAAUAAACGUAUGCUUCCCUAGCAAAGAUGAUGUUGUAGUCUUGAUUGAAGAGUGAGCUCUUAAUUCCUUCAACCGCUGUUUUUUUAGCAAAUCCAUCCCUGAUUCUCUCUUGCAGGGUGUAGAGUAAAAUAAGGAAAAACAUCUUUCCUCCUUCAGGCAACACGGAAACCUCUCCCUCCCUCCUUCUGUCCAUCCAGCUGCAGCUGAACAAAAAACAUCAUAGGAACUUAAGGGGAGAAAUAUAAUCCAAUAUCUAUUUCUUCUAAUCAUUAUAUACAGUAUAAAAUAAUACUUCAUUCCCAACAGCUCACUUUAUAGCAUGUGUUUCUUCUUUCCCCACUUCACUAGUCUGAAAUAAUUCCUGCUGGUUCUGGCAGGAGCCAGCCACACAGCAAGGCUCUGGACUUCUCUUACUCUCCUGUGGCUGUCAACAUCAAAAUUUCUAUUACCUCUCUCUCCCUUCAUUGUGGGGAUCCUUCUCUCCCCUUACUCUCUUUUUAUCACUGAUUUCUCCAUCCUCCUCAUGUCACUCUUUUGUUUUCUUGAUUCUCCAAGAGCUUUUCAGUUUGCCCCACACUGGCAGGAUGGAACCCUACUGUGUAUUUUGUUCUGCCUGAUUGGGAAACUUAGCAACCCUUGGACUUCUCCAAACUGUGUAAUUGAAUUGUCUAAAGUGUUAAUCAUCAUUGGAUUAUUCUGACAUUCUUGAUGCAAAAAUAUGUACAUUAAAAUAAUAACAUAAUUACAGAAUUUGCUUUUAGCAUGAAUAUAUUUCUUCUUAGUGACACUGAAAUGAUUUACUACUCCCAAUAUUUAUAUAUUGUUUUGACAGAUAUGCAGUGGGCUGUGAGUAAUUUUAAGGUGGUACAGUUUAUUCCAUGCUGCUUCAAAGCAAGGAUUUCUCCCCUCCCCUUUUACCCCAUCACAUUUUAUUAUUAAUGGACACAUUUGAAUUGUCAGCUUUCCCAAAACCUUGGUGUAUUGGCUGGAAUGAUCAGAAUGAUUGCUUAACCAUGUCAUCACUAACUAGGAGUACUGAACAUGCUCUUGCUAUAUCUUUUCCCUAGUAGUUCUUCUGGUUUGGU